UCCCCGUUAACCGGGGCAGUCCCCCGAGAGUCCUCAGCAGUUUGCACUCUGUUAGCAACACGGGGCGGGGGUUGCGCUCGUUGCGGGACUUAACCCAACAUCUCACGACACGAGCUGACGACAGCCAUGCAGCACCUGUGCACGGGCUCCGAAGAGGGGCACCUGUUUCCAGGCGCUUUCCCGUGCAUGUCAAGCCUAGGUAAGGUUCUGCGCGUUGCGUCGAAUUAAACCACAUGCUCCACCGCUUGUGCGGGCCCCCGUCAAUUCCUUUGAGUUUCAGCCUUGCGGCCGUACUCCCCAGGCGGGGCACUUCAUGCGUUAGCGCCGGUACUCCAAGGGUCGCUCCCCGGAGCACCUAGUGCCCAUCGUUUACGGCGUGGACUAC
rnacentral:misc_RNA from 1 species